GGCUCCACAACCACGAUGCUGUCCCGGUCCCGCUGUUGUCCUGGGCAUUUAGCCGCUCGCUCUCCGCCUUCCAGAAGGGGAACUGCCCUCUAGGGAGACAUUCCCUGCCCGGGGUCUCCUUAUGCCAGGGACCAGGUUACCCUAACAGCAGGAAGGUUGUCAUUAACAACAGUAGUGUCUUCAGUGUUCGCUUCUUCAGAACUACGGCUGUGUGCAAGGGUGAUUUGGUUACAGUCAAAACCCCAGCAUUUGCAGAAUCUGUUACAGAGGGGAAUGUCAGGUGGGAAAAAACUGUUGGAGACACAGUUGCGGAAGAUGAAGUGGUUUGUGAGAUUGAAACUGACAAGACAUCUGUGCAGGUUCCAUCACCAGCAAAUGGCGUGAUUGAAGCUCUUUUGGUACCUGAUGGGGGAAAAGUCGAAGGAGGCACUCCGCUUUUCACACUCAGGAAAACUGGUGCUGCUCCUGCUAAGGCCAAACCAGCUGAAGCUCCUGCUGCUGCAGCCCCAAAAGCAGAGCCUACAGCAGCGGCAGUUCCUCCUCCCCCUGCAGUACCCAUACCCACUCAGAUGCCACCAGUGCCCUCGCCCUCACUACCUCUUUCUAGCAAACCUGUGUCUGCAGUAAAACCCACUGCUGCCCCUCCACUAGCUGAGCCAGAAGCUGGCAAAGGUGGUCUGCGUUCAGAACAUCGGGAGAAAAUGAACAGGAUGCGGCAGCGCAUCGCUCAGCGUCUGAAGGAGGCCCAGAAUACAUGUGCAAUGCUGACAACUUUUAAUGAGAUUGACAUGAGUAACAUCCAGGAGAUGAGGGCUCGGCACAAAGAGGCCUUUUUGAAGAAACAUAACCUCAAACUAGGCUUCAUGUCGGCAUUUGUGAAGGCCUCAGCCUUUGCCUUGCAGGAACAGCCUGUUGUAAAUGCAGUGAUUGACAAUACAACCAAAGAGGUGGUGUACAGGGAUUAUAUUGACAUCAGUGUUGCAGUGGCCACCCCACGGGGUCUGGUGGUUCCAGUCAUUAGGAAUGUGGAAGCUAUGAAUUAUGCAGAUAUUGAACGGACCAUCACUGAACUGGGAGAGAAGGCCCGAAAGAAUGAACUUGCCAUUGAAGAUAUGGAUGGUGGUACCUUCACCAUUAGCAAUGGAGGAGUUUUUGGCUCCCUCUUUGGAAUGCCCAUAAUCAACCCCCCUCAGUCUGCCAUCCUGGGCAUGCAUGCCAUGUUUGACAGGCCUGUGGCUAUAGGAGGCAAGGUGGAGGUGCGGCCCAUGAUGUACGUGGCACUGACCUACGAUCACCGGCUGAUUGACGGCAGAGAGGCUGUGACUUUCCUCCGCAAAAUCAAGGCGGCUAUAGAGGAUCCCAGAGUCCUCCUCCUGGAUCUUUAGGAGGAAGGCACACACCCAACAAAUCAUGCAGGAACUGAAAACCAGUCUUAACCCUGCCCCCUCAUGGGUCCCAAGUUAGCCUGGUGACAGGCAGGCACAUGCCGUUGGCCUCAAGCAAGGAAGGAGAGCACUAUGUAACCAGCAGUCACAGGUCUUUUCUUGGUGUUCCUGCCAGGCUCUCUCCCUCUUUGCACCUGUCUCACACCCUUGAAUAUCUUAAUUCCUUAGGCUUGAGAGAGAGAGCCUUAAUGGAUGCUCAUUAAUAUUCCUGCCUUUCUUCCAUCA